GCAAGAUACCACGGGCGCACGGCGGAUGCCUUGGCACAGGGAGCCGAUGAAGGACGCGGCAAGCUGCGAUAAUCCCCGGCGAGGAGCACACAUCCUUCGACCCGGGGGUCUCCGAAUGGGCGAACCCAUCCACAGCAGUGUGGAUAUCCCCACCCCGAACACAUAGGGGUGGGGAGGACAACCCGGGGAACUGAAACAUCUAAGUACCCGGAGGAGAGGAAAUCAAUCUCGAGACUCCCCGAGUAGCGGCGAGCGAAAGGGGACCGAUGGCCAAACCGUCGAGCGGGCAUACCCGGCAGGGGUUCCGCCGACGGGGUUGCAGGGCCGCGCAUCCGGGGGCUGCCGCCCCCGGGCGCAGGUCCGGCUGGGGAGCGGAACGGCAUGGGAGGGCCGGCCGCAGCGGGUGACAGCCCCGUACGCGAACCCAGACCGGACGGCGCGACGCGGUCCCUGAGUAGGGCCGGGCACGUGAAACCCGGUCCGAACCUGGGUGGACCACCAUCCAAGCCUGAGUACUACCCUGUGACCGAUAGCGCACCAGUACCGUGAGGGAAAGGUGAAAAGCACCCCGGGAGGGGAGUGAAACAGUACCUGAAACCGUGCGCCCACGAGCAGUCGGAGCACCUAUACGGUGUGACGGCGUGCCUUUUGUAGAAUGAGCCAGCGAGUCGCUGGCGCGGGGCGAGGUUAACCGAAAGGGAGCCGGAGCGAAAGCGAGCCUUAACAGGGCGACUUGAGUCCCGCGCCGCGGACGCGAAGCCGGGUGAGCUAUCCGUGGGCAGGCUGAAGCGGGGGUAAGACCCCGUGGAGGGCCGAACGCACGUCGGUUGAAAACGGCGGCGAUGACCUGCGGAUAGGGGUGAAAGGCCAAUCAAACCCGGAGAUAUCUCGUUCUCCCCGAAAUAGCUUUAGGGCUAGCGUCGCGCGUUCACCGCCGGAGGUAGAGCACCGGAUGGACGAGGGGGCUUCGCCGCCUACCGAAUCCAACCGAACUCCGAAUGCCGGCGGCCCAGAGCGCGGCAGUCAGAGCAUGUGGGCUAAGCUGUGUGCUCGAGAGGGAAACAGCCCGGACCGCCCGCUAAGGUCCCCAAGUUCCAGCCGAGUGGCAAAGGAUGUGCGUCCGCCCAGACAACCAGGAUGUUGGCUUAGAAGCAGCCAUCCAUUCAAAGAGUGCGUAACAGCUCACUGGUCGAGUGGACAUGCGCCGACAAUACACGGGGCUAAGCUGGACACCGAAGCGGCGGGAUUUUACCUAAGUAGAAUCGGUAGGGGAGCUUCCCAUGGGCGGCGAAGCCGCCGGGCGACCGGCGGUGGAGCGCAUGGGAGUGAGAAUGCUGGCAUGAGUAGCGAGAGACGAGAGAGUAACUCGUCCGCCGUGAACCCGAGGUUUCCUGGGCAAGGCUAAUCCUCCCAGGGUCAGUCGGGGGCUAAGGCGAGGCCGGGAGGCGUAGCCGACGCGCAGCAGGCAGACAUUCCUGCACCGCGCACGCGGCGCUACGACCGACGGGGCGACGGAUGGGGGUGGCUCGGCGGGGUUCUGGACGUCCCCGUGAUGGAGCGCGGCCCGCGGACCAGGGAAAUCCGGUCCGCACGAGGGCGAGGCUCCGGACGAAGCGAUCAAGCGAAGCGAGUGAGCCCGAGGUCCCUAGAAAAACCCCUAGGCAGGCGCGUGCGCGCCCGUACCGCAAACCGACACAGGUGGGUGGGUAGAACAUACCGAGGCGAUCGGGUCAACCAUGGUCAAGGAACUCGGCACAAUGGCCCCGUAACUUCGGGAGAAGGGGUGCCCGCGCGUACGUGAACCGGCUUGCCCGGGGAGCGGAGGCGGGCCGCAGUGGAGAGGCCCAAGCGACUGUUUACCAAAAACACAGGACUCUGCAGAAGCCGCAAGGCGACGUAUAGGGUCUGACGCCUGCCCGGUGCCGGAAGGUCACGCGGAGGAGUUAGCCGCAAGGCGAAGCCCCGAAGCCAAGCCCCGGUAAACGGCGGCCGUAACUAUAACGGUCCUAAGGUAGCGAAAUUCCUUGUCGGGUAAGUUCCGACCUGCACGAAAGGCGCAACGACUUGGGCGCUGUCUCGACCAUGGACCCGGUGAAAUUGCACUGGUCGUGAAGAUGCGACUUACCCGCGGAAGGACGGAAAGACCCCGUGAACCUUCACUGCAGCUUGGCAUUGGCCGCUGGUCCCGCGUGUAGAGGAUAGGCAGGAGGCACAGAUCCGGAGGCGCCAGCCCCCGGGGAGCCGCCCUUGGAAUACUGCCCUCGCGCGACCGGCGUCCUAACCCGAGGCCGUCAACCGGCUCGGGGACCGUGCCAGGCGGGCAGUUUGACUGGGGCGGUCGCCUCCUAAAGGGUAACGGAGGCGCGCGAAGGUCCGCUCGGGACGGUCGGCAACCGUCCUUUUGAAUGCAAGAGUACAAGCGGGCUUGACUGCGAGGCCCACAAGCCGAGCAGGUGCGAAAGCAGGCUCUAGUGAUCCGGCGGCCCCGAGUGGGUGGGCCGUCGCUCAACGGAUAAAAGGUACUCCGGGGAUAACAGGCUGAUCUUGCCCAAGAGUCCACAUCGACGGCAAGGUUUGGCACCUCGAUGUCGGCUCAUCGCAUCCUGGGGCUGGAGCAGGUCCCAAGGGUACGGCUGUUCGCCGUUUAAAGCGGUACGCGAGCUGGGUUCAGAACGUCGUGAGACAGUUCGGUCCCUAUCCUCCGUGGGCGCAGGAGAAUCGAUGGAGGCUGCCCCCAGUACGAGAGGACCGGGGUGGACGCACCUCCGGUGAACCGGUUGUCGACCAACGGCACGGCCGGGUAGCCGCGUGCGGCGCGGAUAACCGCUGAAGGCAUCUAAGCGGGAAGCCGUUCCAGGGAUUAGUUCUCCUUCCGGUAAGGGCCCAGGUAGACUACCUGGUCGAUAGACGGCAGGUGCAAGGCUGGCGACAGCCUCAGCCGAGCCGCACUAAUCGCCCGAGCUCUUCCGGAA
rnacentral:rRNA from 1 species